ACAGGGUUUUUCUGUAUAGCCCUGGCUGUCCUGGAACAUGGUCUGUAGACUAGGCUGACCUCGUGGUUCAGCAUUUAAGUGAAGAGAUUGGCUAAGAAAACACAAUAGGUUUUCUGAAAAACACCAUGAGACCUUUGUACCUCAUGGUUGGUGAUUGCAGAGCUGAAAUCUUGCUGCUUUCUGGUCUUCUAGGUCCCAGCCCAUUUCAGAAUCUAAAGUUACAGAAUUCACCAGGACUGGUGAGCACACCUGCUAUCUGGUAUUUCGGAGACAGUGGCAGGAAGAUCAGGCUUUUGAGACCAGACUCAGCUACAUAGAGUUCAAGGCCAGCCUGGACUAUGUGAGACCCUGAUUUGUUUUGUGUUUUUAAGUCACAGAAUCUCUCCCAAAAAAACCCUAGAAGCCAUUUUGUACAUACCUUUAAGGUUCAUAGUGCCUCUAAAUCCAAAACCAAACCAUAGCUCUUCCAGGCUGUAACCCUCUUUACCUGAAAACUUUUCUUGGGUCAAGGGUUGAUGAGCCAUGUCUAGACAAAAAGGACCUCUCAUGGGCUGCAGACUCUGGGAAGGGAGAUGAGAACAUGGCCUCUACCCUCUUGUCUAUCAGCCUGUAGAAAGCCAUCGUCUCCACCCACUGAGAGCAAGAGCUCAUCUAGUGACCAAGGUACUUUCCUGCCAAACAGUACUUGUUGCAUCCCUAGGAGCCCUUCUCUAGCUGAGGAGCAGGGAUCCUCACUGUGCUGAAGGUCUGACGGGAACGUGGUCUUAGGCUACAAAGGGCACUGGGGGACUUAGACAACUCCGCAGACAAGAAAGACAGUCUCUAAUCUUUGCAGUACAACUUAUCAUUUGUGGUCUCUCUUUCAUCUGAGAUCUUUUCUGCACAUGGUUGCUUUUCGUGCCGUCGGACUCUCUCGUUAUGGCCACCCGAACAAAAAGGCAGAUUGGAAGAACCAGCAAGCCAAGGGAGCGAUUUUAGAAGUUCAUAUUUGCAUGUUAUCUACAUGCACAUUAAAACCAACCCGUGUGUGUCUGUAUGGUUUCUUUGUAAGAAAAAAGUUAGUAUUUGAGUAAUUAAAUCUUUGGAACUCUCUUCCUGCGGGGUCUGCAAGUCUAUGGAAACCAGAAUUAAGCAAUGCAAAUGUCUGCUGGUGAAACCUCACUUAUCAAAAGCAGUAGAUUCUUUACAUUUUAUGAUUUUUUACUCUAGGAGCUUCAAUAAUUUGAUGAAAGUUGUGGCCCUCAUUGAAAAAAGAAAAGAAUGCACAUAAAAAAUCUACUCUCUUAGGGCUGAGCAGAUGGCUCAGCCAGAAAGUGUUUGUCUUGAAGCUCAAGGACUAGAAUUCUGAUCUCCAGAAAUGCUGAAUGGGUGUGGUGGCCCUCCUGUAAUUCUGGAACAUCAGAGGCAGAAACAGAUUCUCCAAAGCAAGCUACCCCAAACAUCGGGCCCAUGAGAGAGCUUCCACAGACGCACAUGCAAGUACAUGAAUGCCCGAGAGUGCGCGCGCGCACACACACACACACACACACACACACACACACACACACACACACACACAGAGCAUUCCACACAAAUGCAAAAAAGAAUACACCCUUUGAAACUGCAUAAGAUUUCAAAUUCAAUACUCAGGAGGUAAAGGUGGGUGGAUUUCUGAGUUUGAGGCCAGCUUGAUGUUUAGAGCAAGUUCUAGGACAGCUGGGGCCACAUAAAGAAACCCUGUCUUGAAAAACAAAAAACUAAAAAACCAAAGAUGACGAUGAUGAUGAUUUCUUGUUCUUGUUCUUGUUCUUGUUGUUGUGGUUUUUCGAGACAGGAUUUCUCUGUAUAUCCCUGGCUGUCCUGGAACUCACUCUUUAGACCAGGCUGGCCUUGAACUCAGAAAUCCGCCUGCCUCUGCCUCUGCCUCCCGAGUGCUGGGAUUAAAGGCGUGCACUACCACACCCAGCAAAUCCAAAGAUUUCAAAUUUUGGAUUCUAGUAAACUACCCCUCACUCCAAUAGUUAAAGGAACACUGAGGUUUUGUUCUGAUGAUAGAUGAGGUCUCCAUCCUGUUUAAAGACUCCUGUUUGGAAAUAUGGAAAUGCUUCUCAGUUACAGAAACAUUUUUAUCAAAAUUAUAAUUUACAGUUUUAUGUGUGUGGUAUAAAUUUGAGGACUCUCAACUUUUCAUCAUGUAAAAAUCAAUUUAGUCAAAUUCCUUGAAAUAAAGGAGUAAAAUUGAUCCAGGAUUUAUUUAUUAAAAGCCUACUAUGUGCCAGAUAAUACUCCAACGCUUCCUUGAUUUAGGACAUUUGAUUUUUCCUCUGGUACUUAAGGACAGCUAAGAAGCAGCUGAGUUGAAACUGCUUUUCAGGAUGACUGUCCCAGACUCCCAGACACCGGAAGCAACACAGCAAUGUCCUUUUCCUGAUUGACAUCUCCAAACAGGGUUCUUUAGUGUCAGCCAUGGCACUUAGUAGGUUUGCCACUUGAAAAAGGAACCCACUUUUAAAAUAAUUCUCUCAGUGACUUGUAAGCAGUACUUCAGGAGUGACAUACCACCCAAUUAAGACCUUGACCCUACCUAGAAAACAGUUGUUGGCUGAUCGGAUGUCUGCUAGGCCCACCUCACCUCUGAAAGAGGCACUUCCUCAAAAACUGCUCGUAAGUGUCUUCCUCAGAUUUAAAAGAGGGAAGGUGGGGGUGGGAUGACAGAGAGAAACCAGGCUGGCCUGGACCUUGCUAUGUAGACUAGCUUAGCUGAAUAUGUAGCGAUCCUCCUGCCUCGGUCUUAUCUACCAUCACACAUGGCCUCUAAUUUUUUCCUCACCACAGAUCCAGUUACCUUUCCAGGUUGAGCAGGCCGGGAAGGAGGGAGGGUCUGGGUUUGACUGCUGUUUUGAAAGUUGCCACCAUCAGGAAAUGUUUAAUGUGCUCAGAGAAGUGACUAAAGUGGGCCCCAACUGUCUGCAUACAAUUCCCUAGACACACUAUUAGGUCUCAGACUUAGAACAAACAGCUAACAAAUCAAGGCAGACGCUGGCCCCAGUCUUUCCUCAGUUCCUACAGGGUCCUCCUAGCUGGCAUGCCCCACCCCUACCCGGAACUCUCCAGCUGGAAGCCUGGACUGCCUUUCCUCCAUCUUCUCUUCUCUGAUUCCUGUAUGACGUCAGCCAUUUUGACUACCAGUCCUUUUUUACCUCUUGGCUGCAGCGUGCAGCUCUCGGUUCCCACUCUGCCAUCUCUCUCCCUCUCCCAUUCGGCUCGAUCCAGCCUGCCAGCCAUGUACACUCUAGACUCUCCAGAUGCCCUGCCUAUGUUCCCCCCAUACCAACAAUAAACCUUCUCCACUAUACCGAGAGCGCCAUGCCCUCAUUUUCUUUAUUUCAUUUGCAGACAUUGUUCCCCAGGACAAAUUUAAGCAGCCAUCUGCACCCCUCCCCAUCAGGACCAGGAUAGUUAGUUGUCCCCACUGCUUUCCAGCUCUUCUUUCUGUCUCUUCAGAUUGUCCUACAAGAGGCUUCAGUUAUAGCUCACUCACUCCUGCUCUUUCUUUGAAUCUUGGGACACUAUUUCCUGUACGAAGCCUCAGGAUAAGUCUCGUUCUCCACUUAACCACCCACCUCUGCAUUCAUGCUUGAUCUCCUCUGCUGUUCUCCUGUAAGGACUGGGAGCAUCCGUUAACCCUGAGUAACGGGAUGGGGAGGCACUGCUCUGGCAUUAUGCAGUAGUCACUUAAAGAAAAUUAUGUAAAUCAAGCUGUGGUGGCACAGACCAAUAAUCUCAGCUUUCAGGAGGCUGAGGCAGGAGGAUUGCCAUGAUCAUGAGGCCAGCCUUGGCUGGAACGGAUAUCUUGUUUUCUAGGGCCAGCAAGACACUGUCUAAAGAAAACAAAAAGAGCUGCAGGUAAGAGCACUUGCCACCAAGCCUGGGGACCAAAUCCCUAGGUGCCACAUAGAAGGAGAGAAUCAACUUCCACAAAUUGUCCCCUGACCUCUGUUCUUGUGCUCUAACACACCCAUGCACAUACACAUGAAUUAAAUAAAUAAGUGAAAAAGAUAGUUAUAUGAAUUUUUCAGAGGAUUAAAGGCAAAUAAGAAAUUAGAUGCAACUACUUAAAAAAAAUAGAUUAAAAGCAGUCCUCUAGAUAACUUUUCCCUAAAAUGCUUUGAAUGAGACAGUGAAUUUCAGUGGGGCAGUAGUGGCUCAUGCCUUUGAUCCCAGCACUCAGUAGACAGAGGCAGGUGGAUCUCUGAAUUUGAGGCCAGCCUGGUCUAUAGAGCUAGUUCCAGGACACUCAGGGCUACACAGAGAAACUCUGUCUUGAAAAACAAACAAAGACUGAAUUUUCUUUGUUUGAAUUUCUUGCAAGGAUCUCCUAGAUAGUGAUCUAGAGUCUUCCAGGGAUUUGUUGCCAUUCUCCUGGCUGAUUCAAGGGGCCAUUUCCACCCUUUUCAGCUCGUUUCUAAAUUUUUUCCUCUCCUUAUCCAACUGUCCAUUUGCCAGCAGAAUUGCAACAGGCUUUAGACAUGUGAGUGUAACAGGAAGCAUGGCACAGCUAGGGAGCUAUCAUACAUUCGGCAACAGUUACUGGAACUCCAGGAAAGCAGCCCCCUCCCUCGCCAGUGUCACUACUACAAAAACUGGGGCUCCCUGCUGGCAUCCCUUGCAACACCUUGAGGGUGAUCUCAGCUCAAGCUUCCCAGAGUCACACUGGACAUCUGAUUCCUCUGUAGCCUCGCCCACCAUGUGCAAUAUCAACCCUGGCAACCCUUAGACUUCUUGGUGAACCUCACACUGUGUCUACCACAUUUUCUAGGUCUAGUCGUCAUUCAUGGCCCAGGUGGAAACAGUACAAGCUUACUCCUCAUAGGUUCCCAUGUGUAUUGAGUAUACUCCUGUGAAACUCAGAGAAUCACCCCCAGUUCUUUCUCAGGUCAGCCAGAAAAAGCUGCCACUGUGACCUCCUGAGAGCUUUGAGCAUACAAAGGAAAAAUGUCACCUGCACUCCUGGGCCAGCCCAGGCAAGACCUUGAAUCAACUUGGAACUUAAGCAGAGAAUUCCUCAUCUCCACUAAGGUGAGCCACAGAUGUCCUUGCAGUUAGGAGAGAGCCAUGACAGACAGCCGGAUGUGACUGUAGAACGGGCCACUUGGACCCAGGGAAAACACAACAGAGCAGGCAUCCUGCAGAAGCUGGCAGUCCUGUACACUGCAGCUUGGAGCAGGUCAGAGCCAUCAUCCAGGCACGCCAGCCAUGACUCCAUGUGAACCUUUUUUAACCACAGCGUUAAACCAAACCACUAAUGGAGUUAUGGAUGAGCACAAAACAGAAAAUUAAAGCCUUAACGUAUCUUCCUUGAGAUCCCUGUAUUAGGCUGGAGAGAUGGCUAAGUGCUUAAGGACACACAUUGCUCUUGCGAAGGACCUGUGUUCAGUUCCCAACACCCACAUCAAGCAGCUUAUAACUGCCUAUAACCCCAGCUCCAAGGGAUCUGACACCCUUUCCCUCUGCAAGCACCUUCUCUCACAGCAGACACAUACAGAUAAAUAAGACUUUUAAUAAUAAAUAAUAACCUGUGUCCGUCUUGUAGGGCCAGCUGGGUUUUAGCCUGUGAUGAUGCAGCCCCCUCUUCCAGCUGUAGUCCUCACAGCAGCAUAAUUCAGGGCGCAUGGGUCCCUAUGGGGUAGGACCCCACCUGGCCUGGUCCUUACGCAUUUUGCCUCGCAUGACAUUGUCAACGUGGGGGAUAUCUUCUUGUGCGGCUGGAGGAGAUAAGUAACUCCUUGGCCUCCGCAUACCCAGCACAGGCCGGCCCCAAAGACAAUUCUGAUCAUGUCGAAAACUCUUGGCUCUGAAGCCGAUGAAUCAUGGCAACUUGAGCUUCCUCUCCUCUGGAUGGACCAAGUGUUUCUCCUCACAGAAUCUGUCAGCCCUGGUGAUGGGACAGUGAAGACUUUCCGAGGGUGAUAAAGCCACUCAGCUUGCUUGUCACACAGAGGGUGGGACCAGCAAAAGAGGUCCACUUCAGCUGCUGUCCCUCAUUUCCAGAUAGAGGAUCACUAGUCAGCGAUGUAAUUUUCUUGCCAAUCAACAGUGUGCAGAAGCACAGCGUGACGCAGUAAAUGUCUAACAGCGAUGCUCAGCUGACCUGGGACGAGAGGUAACCUGGACCAGUUGUAGGUACCACUGGAGCCCAUCCACCGUCCUAUGAAAGGUGAGACUAAUCCCCACCAUCAGUGAGGGAAUGCUGUGCACUAGAGCGCGCCCUCGCGACUUCAAGCUCCAGGACCUCAUGCUAUGGGCCCUCUCCCUAAAUCCACACUCCCUCUCGACCCAGCUCAGUGACCCGAGUGCCAUUAUCCUUUCCUCCAGGAUCUCAGGCGGGGAUCUCUGUCCUGUGGCCAAGGCUGGAGCAGGCUCCGUGCUCUCGGGCGCCACCUAGCUCUAGCCAGGUCGACCGCCUGCUGCUCUCGGACAGGCGGCCCCAACGCCCAGGCGCCCGAGUCGGCUUGGGGUGGGGCAGCCUUGGGUCCCACUGCCAGCGCUGGCAGCCAUCGAGACUGCUCCUGCCUUAAGAUCCCGGCGUCUCUCUUUGGGGUCCCAGAGGCGUGAGGUGUGCAGUGAAGGGCACUGGCGGGAUAGGGGUGAGGCCCAGGUCCCGCUUCAAUUCUUCCACAUCCGCUUGUCCCAGAAACGGGAGGCGCCCUGCCACCGCGCAGGGCCAGCUUCGAAACCAUCCCUGGAAGCAGUCCAGACGCCUGCAGUCUGUUAACCUUGGCAGGUCGCUAGGACCUCUGGGAACUUUUAAGAAGACAAGUAUCUGGAUCCCACCCCAGCUGAUUGACUUGGGGGUAGUAGUGCAGAACGUGUAUUUUUCACUCUCACCUAGUGAGUCCUAAGGCCCUCGGUGUGAAGAGCACCUAACUGUGAGCUGCAGGUCUCUUUUGUAUCAAGCCCGUUUAACUUGGCUUGUACACACCCGAGUCCUUCCAAAGUCUUGGCUCUGCACUAAGGUUACCUAGAAACACAGGCCCUGGGUCUAGCCUGGGACUUUUGCCCUCACCCAGGAGGGGGAGUGGGGUCUCUUUGUUUUGCACUAGACUCUUGCAAAGUAACUACCGACCCCGACCGCUGUUCCCAGCCAGGUUAAGGAGGCACAAGACUAGAAUCUGGAUCCUCGAAUUUCCUGUUCAGAAGGGGUUGCCAGGUCUAGCAAAUAAAAGUGCAGCGUGUUCAGUUAAAUGCUACUCUCAGAUCAACCAUGAGUUAUCUUUUAGUUUAUCUGAAAUAUUGUGCAGGGAAGCCUGUAAACGCAGCGCUCGGGACGUGUGGGAAGAGAGGAGAUAUGUGAGGCCAGCUUGAGCUACUGGAGACCCCCUAUCUCAAAAAAGCAAAGAAAGGAAGGAAGGAAGGAAGGAAGAAAGAAAAGGAAAGGAAACUCAAAUAUGCAGACUAUUAUAGAUCUGGAAUUAAGACAUAAUGAGUGUCCUGUAUUUUAUCAGACACACUAAGCCCAGAGGAUACUCCCAACCCUGCCACAGGGGAUCCUAGCUGCCUAUCAAAGGCAGAUAUGUGCUCAGGCUAAAUACUGAGAGCCAGCAGCUAGCCUGUCACAGGGUACUUGCUGCACAGUUUGAGACUUCCCACCAGCUCCAGCCCUUGCUUCAUGCUCUCUUUUAAAGCGACAGGGUCUUCUUUGAAACUUUCUGGUAGAUACGGAGCCAGGUAAGGCUGCAGUGUCUACAGCAGUGCCAAAUACCGUGGAAGUAGAAUGGCCGUUGGCAACAGUAAAACCCAAAUUCAGAGUUUCCCCCAAACCUGGUCCUCUAGACUGCCAAGCCAGUCUUGCUGGUGAGCUCCAGGCUCAGGGAGAGAUCCACUCUCAAAAACAAAACAAAACAAACAAAACCCACAAGAUGAUAGGCUAGAGAGAUGGCUCAGUAGUUAAGAGCAAUGUCUGCUCCUCCAGAGGACCUGGUUCCAGGUGGUCUGAUGUCCUGCUUCUGAUAUCCAAGGUCACUGCAUGCACAUGGUUCAUGUGAGCAAAGCACCCACGCCAAAAGCAUUAAAAUAAACUUUCUUAAAAGGUGAAACCCGAUGAACCAAGGCAGGGGGCAUUAACCUCUGGCUUCUAUUAGAAUGCACAAUACUCACUUGCACACUCUCACAGGAACACAUCGCGUGGAGUUUUAACAUCUCACAAACAUCUGCAGCUUUCCUGACAACAGCCCUCAAAUCCGCAGCUAACUCUUUAACCUCAGGACCCAGCAAAAUGUAAUAAUGAAAGCAGGGACAAAGCCAGUGAAAUGUCACCUCGUGUGAACAGUUUCUGUUCUCUGCUCUCUGUGGAGAUUGUGAUGGUGAUAUCCUUUAAGCUUAUUAUUCAAUUUCAUCCUUUUUAAACAUAUACAUAUAUAUUUUAUGUGUCUGAGUGUUUUGCCCAGAUAUAUGUUUAUGCACUAUAUUAAUGCCUGGUACCCACAGAGACCAGAAGAGGGUGUCAGAUCCCUUGGAACUGAAGUUGCAAAUGGCCACAAGCUGCCCCAUAGGUGCUGGGAAACAAACCUGCCAGUGCUCUGAAGCAAUGAGCCCCACCCCACCUUUUAAAUUAUAUAUAUAUAUAUAUGCCCUCAGAUUCUCAGUUAUCCUCUACCAUGCCAUUUUUAAUGCAGGUCUUUGUUUGGUUUUAUUUGUUUAUUUUGUUUGUUUUUUGAUAUUUUGUUUCAUUUUGGUUUUUUUGAGAUAGAGAUUCUCUGUGUAGCCUCUACUGCCCUAGAACUCAUUCUGUAGUACUCCCAGAGACUCUCCUGCCUCUGCCUCCCGAGUGCUUGGAUUAAAGGCUUGCACCACCACUGCCAGGGUUGACUGACUGAAAUUUAAGAAUGAUCUUAUGUCGCCCAGGUUGGUCUCAGACUCACUAAACAGCCAAAGUCAUUCUUGACCCCUCUUUCUGCCUCUACCACCUUGAGUGCUCAGAUCAUCAGUGAAUGUUACUGUGCCAGACAGGACCUUUAAAUAUCCACACUAAGACAGAUUAAAGAGCCUGAGAUCAGCAUAAAACACUCGGGUAUUGCCAGACUAGACAGGAAAGCCAUCAUCCCAAGGCCAUGUGGGUGAUUCAAACUGACUCAACCCUGCCCCACGUUCAAGCAUAUGCUCAGUGGGGAUGACAGGAAAGGGAAGGCGGAGGCAGCAUCACUGGGCGUGCACAGGGAGCAGUGCUGGGGAGACCUGCAGUUCCAGGGAGUGGGGACCACAGAGAGCCCAAGGCUUGUGGGCAGAGAAAUCUCGUGUGCUGAGACUGCAAGCCCAAUGUGUACCAUAUUGUCUCUUCACUGCAAAACACAAGUUAGCAGCUGGAAGGUAGCUCGGCUCCGAUGAUAAGUUGCUUGUCAUGCAAGCAGGAGUGAGUGCCUGGAUUUGAUCAAUAGCAAACACAGUUUUUUAAAAAAUAUCAAAAAGGAUUAAGGCAGUGGCAUUACCUAUAAUCGCAGAACUAGGGAGGCAGAGAAAGGAGGGUCCUGGGCUUGCUUCCCGAGUUGUCUAGAAUAACUAGCAAGCUCUGGCUCAAUGAGAAAUCUGUCUUCAAAGAUGAAAUGAGACUAAUGAAGACACCUGCUGCUGACUGCUGGCCUCCAUGUGAACUCACAUACAUGUACAUCUGCACAUGCAUGGAUACAGGAACACAUGAUACAUUUUUUUAACCCCCACAAGGUGAAGAUUAAGAUUUUGAAGCUGGGAACAGCAGAGGUUUGAACUGCCAGCUCAACCUGUGAUGUGCUUACGUCUGCUCAGGUCCAGCACAGUACCCAGGGAUCUCUGCGUUUAAAGAAUGCCCAGGAUUGACUUCAGGGACUCUCGAGACAAUGCUGAAGGCUUCCAAACCUGACUAAUUAGAUUCCAUCUGCUGUUUGUUUAUUCUGUUUUGUUCUUUAGAAAUACUCUACCUGCUAUUUAAUAAAUAUCCCCUCUGUGC